UACGUAGGGGGCAAGCGUUGUCCGGAUUUAUUGGGCGUAAAGAGCGUGUAGGCGGCUGGGUAGGUCCGCUGUGAAAACUCGAGGCUUAACCUCGAGACGUCGGUGGAAACCAUCCAGCUAGAGUCCGGAAGAGGAGAGUGGAAUUCCUGGUGUAGCGGUGAAAUGCGCAGAUAUCAGGAAGAACACCCGUGGCGAAAGCGGCUCUCUGGGACGGUACUGACGCUGAGGAGCGAAAGCGUGGGGAGCGAACAGG
rnacentral:rRNA from 1 species